rnacentral:rRNA from 1 species
UGGGGAAUAUUGCACAAUGGGCGAAAGCCUGAUGCAGCAACGCCGCGUGAGUGAUGAAGGUCUUCGGAUUGUAAAGCUCUGUCUUUUGGGACGAUAAUGACGGUACCAAAGGAGGAAGCCACGGCUAACUACGUGCCAGCAGCCGCGGUAAUACGUAGGUGGCGAGCGUUGUCCGGAUUUACUGGGCGUAAAGGGUGCGUAGGCGGAUGUUUAAGUGAGAUGUGAAAUACCCGGGCUUAACUUGGGUGCUGCAUUUCAAACUGGAUAUCUAGAGUGCAGGAGAGGAGAAUGGAAUUCCUAGUGUAGCGGUGAAAUGCGUAGAGAUUAGGAAGAACACCAGUGGCGAAGGCGAUUCUCUGGACUGUAACUGACGCUGAGGCACGAAAGCGUGGGUAGCAAACAGGAUUAGAUACCCUGGUAGUCCACGCCGUAAACGAUGAGUACUAGGUGUAGGAGGUAUCGACCCCUUCUGUGCCGCAGUAAACACAUUAAGUACUCCGCCUGGGAAAUACGAUCGCAAGAUUAAAACUCUAAAGUGAAUUGACGGGG